rnacentral:rRNA from 1 species
CCUACGGGGGGCAGCAGUGGGGAAUAUUGGGCAAUGGGCGCAAGCCUGACCCAGCAACGCCGCGUGAAGGAUGAAGGUUUUCGGAUUGUAAACUUCUGUCGCGAGGGACGAAGAAUGACGGUACCUCGUAAGAAAGCCCCGGCUAACUACGUGCCAGCAGCCGCGGUAAUACGUAGGGGGCAAGCGUUGUCCGGAAUGACUGGGCGUAAAGGGAGUGUAGGCGGCCUUGUAAGUUAGAUGUGAAAUCCUACGGCUUAACCGUAGAACUGCAUCUAAAACUGUGAGGCUGGAGUGCAGGAGAGGUGAGUGGAAUUCCUAGUGUAGCGGUGGAAUGCGUAGAUAUUAGGAGGAACACCAGAGGCGAAGGCGACUCACUGGACUGUAACUGACGCUGAGGCUCGAAAGCGUGGGGAGCAAACAGGAUUAGAUACCCGAGUA